rnacentral:rRNA from 1 species
UGAAUACGAGAUGCUACGGCGUCGAAGCAGUCUAUGUCAUACUUCCAAGAAAAGCUUGCACUGUCAUAAAACAAAUAAUGCCUGUACCAUAACCGACACAGGUGGGUAGGUAGAGUAUACUAAGGGGCGCGAGAUAACUCUCUCUAAGGAACUCGGCAAAAUGACUCCGUAACUUCGGGAGAAGGAGUGCCUUAUUUAUAAGGUUGCAAUAACAAGAUCCAAGCAACUGUUUACCAAAAACACAGGUCUCCGCUAAGUCGUAAGACGAUGUAUGGGGGCUGACGCCUGCCCAGUGCCAGAAGGUUAAAGAAGUUGGUUAGCAUCCGCGAAGCUGAUAACUGAAGCCCUGGUGAACGGCGGCCGUAACAAUAACGGUCCUAAGGUAGCGAAAUUCCUUGUCGGGUAAGUUCCGACCCGCACGAAAGGCGUAAUGAUUUGGAUACUGUCUCGGAGAGGGGCUCGGUGAAAUAGACUUGUCUGUGAAGAUGCGGACUACCUGCACCAGGACAGAAAGACCCUAUGAAGCUUUACUGUAACCUGAAAUUGAAAUUGGACUUUACUUGCGCAGUAUAGGUGGGAGGCGUUGAGAAUAUUCUUGCGGGAUUAUUGGAGCCAUCAGUGAGAUACCACUCUUGUAAUGUUAGAUUUCUAACUUUGUAUCAUUAUCUGGUCAAAGAACAGUUUCAGGCGGGCAGUUUGACUGGGGCGGUCGCCUCCUAAACGGUAACGGAGGCGCACAAAGGUUUCCUCUGAACGGGUAGAAAUCGUAUCUAGAGUGUAAAGGCAUAAGGAAGCUUGACUGUGAGACCUACAAGUCGAGCAGGGACGAAAGUCGGUCUUAGUGAUCUGACGGUGCUGAGUGGAAAGGCCGUCACUCAACGGAUAAAAGUUACUCUAAGGAUAACAGGCUGAUCUCCCCCAAGAGUUCACAUCGACGGGGAGGUUUGGCACCUCGAUGUCGGCUCAUCGCAUCCUGGGGCGGUAGUACGUCCCAAGGGUUGGGCUGUUCGCCCAUGAAAGCGGUACGCGAGCUGGGUUCAGAACGUCGUGAGACAGUUCGGUCCAUAUCCGGUGUAGGCGUUAGAAUAUUGAGAGGAGCCUUCUUUAGUACGAGAGGACCGAGAAGGACAUACCUCUGGUGUACCAGUUAUCGUGCCAACGGUAAACGCUGGGUAGCUAUGUGUGGAGUGGAUAACCGCUGAAAGCAUCUAAGUGGGAAGCCCACCUCAAGAUAAGUAUUCUCAU